UACGUAGGGCGCAAGCGUUAUCCGGAAUUAUUGGGCGUAAAGAGCUCGUAGGCGGUUUGUCGCGUCUGCCGUGAAAGUCCGGGGCUCAACUCCGGAUCUGCGGUGGGUACGGGGCAGACUAGAGUGAUGUAGGGGGAGACUGGAAUUCCUGGUGUAGCGGUGAAAAUGCGCAGAUAUCAGGAGGAACACCGAUGGCGAAGGCAGGUCUCUGGGCAUUAACUGACGCUGAGGAGCGAAAGCAUGGGGAGCGAACAGG
rnacentral:rRNA from 1 species